CUAAAAGACACUAGGGAGUCGGAUGUUCAGUUUUUCCGUCUAUGAGUGAAACUAAACUUGGGACUGAAAGGGAGAAGAUUAGCAACUGUGGAAGAAAACCAUGAAGAAUCGCAGCAGGCUCUGGACAUGGUGACAAAAGAUGAUUACAGGAAAUGUUUCCAGGACUGAUAGAAGCGCUGGGACAAGGGUACCAUAUCUCAAGGAGAGUACUUUGAGAUUACAAAAGGCACUGCACAGAUCACUGAAGCAAGCAGUGGAGACGAGGUGGAAUACCAGACUUGCAAUGCUCCAAUAUGUAAGAGAUACUCUGAAGUCUGGUAAGCUGCAUGAGGUCCAGCUUCACCAAAACAAGCUCCAUUAUGUCAACAACAUAGAUCCAGACCUUCUUGAAGACCUCAUCCACCUCUUGGAACCUUUCGAUGAGGCUACCAGGCACCUCUCCACUGAUCAGACACCCACUCUCCACCUCAUCCUCCCGAUCAAGGCAACCCUGCUGAGGGGAUUGUUGCUUUGGGAUGGAGACAGUGUGAUUGUGAAAGAGGUAAUAUAAUACAGUGCUGAUUUGAAUUGUUUUGUAGGUGGUCAUUCAAGUAGCUAACAGCAGCUGGGCCCUAUCCAGUAAUAAUGUUGCAUAUAUCAUCUGAUUUUUUUUUCUCCUGCCUGAAAGAGUUGAAAUUGAAAAUCCACCUUUACCACAAGAUCGCCACAACUCUCUCUCUCCUAGCCUGAAAUAUUUCUGAAGAAAAACUCUCAAUGCUGAGGGGUAUGAGGAGAUCCACUCCCAAUGGCCACAGAAGUGCACAACUUCUUCGCAAGUUGUGUGCAGGAGAAUGAGAGGGAGAAAGACAGUGGUGAUACUAUUAAGGAGUCAUGGGUCCGCCAAUUGCUGCUAAAAUAUAUGAACGAGCCUACAGAGACAAUCUGCUCCCAGUCCCUUCUCAACUUCUGGCAGGAGAUGUUAGGUGGACUAGUGCCUGUUGCCAGGAGGCUGCUGGCAAUCCCAGCAACAAGUACCUUGUCAGAGAGGAGUUUCAGUGUUGCUGGGAGACUAAUUGAGGAAAGGCGUACCACCCUCAAUCCAGAAAAUGUGGACACAGUUUUGUUCCUGCACAGCAACAUAUAAACUCCCUGGACUCAUUGUGCAAGUGUUAGCUGGUUCUGAUAGAUAGCGCUAGCCCUAAGUUUCCUGGCAGUGUUUUUAAUGUUUGGAUAAAACCUUCUAUAUUUGUCAGGCCACCCUCUGGGGUAUGUUGAGGGUACAGUCUUUCUGCACUUGUUUUAAAAUUUUUUGGGAGGUUGAAAAGUUCCUCAUAAAAAUA